CAACAGGGAUUGCCUCAGUAACGGCGAGUGAAGCGGCAACAGCUCAAAUUUGAAAUCUGGCUCCUUCGGGGUCCGAGUUGUAAUUUGCAGAGGAUGCGUCGGGUACGGGUCCCUACCGAGUUCCCUGGAACGGGACGCCAUAGAGGGUGAGAGCCCCGUCUGGUAGGAUACCCAGCCCAUGUGACGCUCCCUCGACGAGUCGAGUAGUUUGGGAAUGCUGCUCUAACGGGAGGUAUACUCCUUCCAAAGCUAAAUACCGGCUGGAGACCGAUAGCGCACAAGUAGAGUGAUCGAAAGAUGAAAAGCACUUUGAAAAGAGAGUCAAACAGCACGUGAAAUUGUUAAAAGGGAAGCACUCGCUACCAGACUUGGGUUCGGCGGUUCAACCGGGGCCACGCCCCGGGGCAUUCCGCCGGCUCAGGCCAGCAUCAGCUUUCCGUCGGGGGCAAAGACGUCGGGAAUGUAGCUCCUCUUCGGGGGAGUGUUAUAGCCCGGCGUGUCAUACCCUUCGGGGGGCUGAGGUACGCGCUUCUGCAAGGAUGCUGGCGUAAUGGUAGCUAGUGACCCGUCUUGAAACACGGACCAAGGAGUCAACCUUAUGUGCGAGUGCCCGGGCGUAAAACCCCAGCGCGGAAUGAAAGUGAACGUAGGUGAGAGCUUCGGCGCAUCACCGACCGAUCCUGAUGUCCUCGGACGGAUUUGAGUGAGAGCAUAUAGGGUUGGACCCGAAAGAAGAUGAACUAUGCGUGUGUAGGGUGAAGCCAGAGGAAACUCUGGUGGAGGCUCGCAGCGGUUCUGACGUGCAAAUCGAUCGUCAAACAUGCGCAUGGGGGCGAAAGACUAAUCGAAUCUUCUGGUAGCUGG
rnacentral:rRNA from 1 species